rnacentral:rRNA from 1 species
GACGAACGCUGGCGGCGUGCUUAACACAUGCAAGUCGAACGAGUGGCGAAGGGGUUAGUAAUACGUUGGUAAGCUGCCCUCUUUUUGGGAUAAGCCUUGGAUACGGGGUCUAAUACCGAAUAUGGGGGGAUGGGCUCGCGGCCUAUCAGCUUGUUGGUGGGGUGAUGGCCUACCAAGGCGGUGAGGGGUAGCCGGGCUGGGAGCGUGAGCGGCUACACGGGGACAGAGACACGGCCCAGACGCCUACGGGAGGAAGCGGGAGGGAAUAGGGCACAAUGGGAGAAAGCCGGAUGCAGCCAUGCCGCGUGUGUGAAGGAGGCCUUAGGGUUGUAAAGCACUAAACAGGAGGAAGCGGUACUCGCUGAAGAAGCACCGGCUAACUCCGUGCCAGCAGCCGCGGUAAUUC